UAACCGUCGUUGCGGACAUAAAGUCGCUCUUGAUCAGGGUGGACUAUAAACAUGGGUUCUGAUAGUGAACCAGAUCCUGUCGCUUUGGCCAGGAUCCACGCAUUCUGUCGCUUGGGCCAGAAUCAGACUCUGAUAGUGAGUCGCUCCAUUUUGUCGCUUUGGCCUUAAUGGAUGGGAGUUAUUUUGUCGCUUUGGCCUUAAUAAUCUCCCUUCAUCUUGUCGCUUCGGCCUUGAUGAUAACACAGAAAG
rnacentral:lncRNA from 1 species